AACCUGCCCAAGAGAUCGGGAUAACACCUGGAAACAGACGCUAAUACCGGAUAACAACAGAUGAUGCCUAUCAACUGUUUAAAAGAUGGUUCUGCUAUCACUCUUGGAUGGACCUGCGGUGCAUUAGCUAGUUGGUAGGGUAACGGCCUACCAAGGCGAUGAUGCAUAGCCGAGUUGAGAGACUGAUCGGCCACAUUGGGACUGAGACACGGCCCAAACUCCUACGGGAGGCAGCAGCA
rnacentral:rRNA from 1 species